rnacentral:rRNA from 1 species
AUUGAACGCUGGCGGCAGGCCUAACACAUGCAAGUCGAGCGAGCGGCGGACGGGUGAGUAAUGCCUGGGAAUAUGCCUUAGUGUGGGGGAAAACUAUUGGAAACGAUAGCUAAUACCGCAUACGAUAAGAUUAGCCCAGGUGAGAUUAGAUAGUUGGUGAGGUAAGGGCUCACCAAGGCGACGAUCUCUAGCUGGUCUGAUAGGAUGUUCACCCACACUGGAACUGAGACACGGUCCAGACGCCUACGGGAGGCAGCAGUGGGGAAUCUUGCACAAUGGGCGAAAUCCUGAUGCAGCCAUGCCGCGUGUAUGAAGAAGGCCUUCGGGUUGUAAAGUACUUUCAGUAGGGAGGCGUUACCUACAGAAGAAGCACCGGCUAACUCCGUGCCAGCAGCCGCGGUAAUUC